rnacentral:lncRNA from 1 species
AACGGGGGUUGGGUGGGGGGUCCAACCCGGUGGGUCUGGGGUCCCACAAAGGCUCCAUCACCUCCUGCUGCCGGCUUCCCUUCCGUCUGUCGCUGUGCAAACCCAAGGCAAACGAAGGCGAGUGCCGAUUUUUGGGGUUUUUUUUGGUCGCUCACUCGACGGUGCCGGUGUCGGGUUUUUUUUGGGUUUUUUUUCCUGAUCCGGUGUCGUUUGCUCGGUGCCGGUGUUGUUUUGCUCGGUGCCAGUGUCGUUUGCUCAGUGCCGGUGUCAUUUGCUUGGUACCGGUGUUGUCGGUACCGGUGUUGUUUGCACGGUGCCGGUGUCAUUUUCUCAGUGCCGGUGUCGUUUUGCUCGUUACCGGUGUUGUUGGUGCUGGUGUCGUUUGAUUGGUGCCGAUGUUGUUUGCUUGGUGCUGGUGUCGUUUGCUCAGUGCCGGUGUCGUUUGCUCGGUACCGGUGUUGUCAGUGCCGGUGUCAUUUGCUCGGUGCCGGUGUCGUUUGCUCGGUACCGGUGUUGUCGGUACCGGUGUCAUUUGCUCGGUGCCGGUGUCAUUUGCUCGGUGCCGGUGUUGUCGGUACCGGUGUCGUUUGCUCGGUGCCGGUGUUGUUGGUACCAGUGUUGUCAGUACCGGUGUCGUUUGCUCGGUGCCGGUGUCGUUUGCUCGGUGCUGCUGUCGUUUGCUCAGUGCCGGUGUCAUUUGCUCGGUGCCGGUGUUGUUGGUACCGGUGCCAUUUGCUCGGUGCUGGUGUCGUUUGCUCGGUGCCGGUGUCGUUGGCUCGGUACCGGUGUCGUUUUGCUCGGUACCGGCAUCACAGACAGACGUUGAUCUGUUUGGCCAACUCCCUCUCGAGGUCGAGGAUGAGAGCAUCGAAGUCUUUGAGGUUAAGCAUCGGAGCGAACGACGAAUCGCUUUCGUCGCCGAGACCAAAAUCGGUCACGAUAAGGGUCCGGCGAUUCGCGACACGACUGUCGCCGCUCGUCACCUCCUCGUAUCUCCCCAGCUCGAUGCUCCAGUCGCCGGCGUAGCGGUUGCUGGGGGGGCUUUCGGGUCCCCGGGGGCGAUGCCGGGCGACCACGGCUGUGUCCACGAGGUCCAGGCGGAGGGGGGGCUGCUGAGGGUGGCUGGGGGGCGACUGGGGGGCCA